rnacentral:lncRNA from 1 species
CUCAAAGAAACCCUCCCUGAGCACCCCAUCCGCAGUAGGGUCACCCCCAUCUUCCACCUUCACUUUUCCUGGUGUCUCCUUCCUAGCCCCUAUCUCUAUGGGAGUUUUCUUCAGAUAGACUAGACUCCCUCGCCCACCCGGGGGGGCCAGCGGGUCUGUCUUCUCUGUCCCUGCACACCAGAGAUGAUCAAUGAUCAGUUGCUGACAUCAAUGAAACAGGAAGGCCCCAGAGGUGCUGGGAGCCGUUCACUGCAGCAGGCCGAGCUGAAGGCUGA